rnacentral:rRNA from 1 species
AGGACGAACGCUGGCGGCGUGCUUAACACAUGCAAGUCGAACGGUGAAGGGACCAGCUUGCUGGUUCUGGAUGAGUGGCGAACGGGUGAGUAACACGUGAGUAACCUGCCCCCUUCUUCUGGAUAACCGCAUGAAAGUGUGGCUAAUACGGGAUAUUCUGGGUCUGUCGCAUGACGGGCCCGGGAAGAUAUUGCUUCGGGUGGGGGAUGGGCUCGCGGCCUAUCAGCUUGUUGGUGGGCGAUGGCCUACCGAAGGCGGUGACGGGUAGCCGGCCUGGAGAGGGUGGACGGUCACGACGUGGGACUGAGACACGGCCCAGACCGUCCGUACGGGAGGCAGCGAGGUGGGGAACUAGUUGCACGAAGUGGGCGCAAGCCUAGAUGCACGCGACCGCCGCGGUGAGGGAGUGGACGGUCGUUCGGGUUAGUAAACCCGUUCGUUCG